rnacentral:pre_miRNA from 1 species
UAUUAAAAUUUUUAUCUAUUUGUAUUGUUAAAAAUUGGUGUGGUUGAUGGAAUAACCUUACAAUGACACGUGAUCUAUCAUGUGUGCCUUAUGCUACAAAGGUCAAUUUUUAACCGUGAAAUUGGAUGAAAAGUUUAAUA